GGAUAGCUCAGGCAGUAGAGCAUGGGACUCUUCAUCUCAGGGUUGUGGGUUCAACCUCCACAAGAUUUCUGCA